rnacentral:rRNA from 1 species
GUUGAACGCUGGCGGCGGGCCUAACACAUGCAAGUCGAACGGAGCGGCGGACGAGUGGGGAAUGCCUAGUAAUCUACCUGGUAGUGGGGGGUAACGUCCGGAAGCGGGCGCUAAUACCGCAGACGAUCAAAUGAGCCUUGGUCGGAUUAGCGAGUUGGUGGGGUAAAGGCCUACCAAGGGGACGAUCCGUAACUGGUCUGAGAGGAUGAUCAGUCACACUGGAACGGAGAAACGGCCCAGACGCCUACGGGACGCAGCAGUGGGGACUAUUGGACAAUGGGCGAAAGCCUGAUCCAGCAAUGCCGCGUGUGUGAAGAAGGUCUGCGGAUUGUAAAGCACUUUAAGUUGGGAGGCGGUACCAACAGAAUAAGCACCGGCUAACUUCGUGCCAGCAGCCGCGGUAAUAC